rnacentral:rRNA from 1 species
UUCUAAGGCGAUACCACCCUGAACACACCCGAUCUCGUCUGAUCUUGGAACUAAGCAGGGUCGGGGCUGGUUAGUACUUGGAUGGGAGAAUACAUAAUAGCUUUUUCUUUGGGGC